rnacentral:rRNA from 1 species
GACGAACGCUGGCGGCGUGCUUAACACAUGCAAGUCGAACGGAAAGGCCCUGCUUUUGUGGGGUGCCCGAGUGGCGAACGGGUGAGUAACACGUGAGUAACCUGCCCUUGACUUUGGGAUAACUUCAGGAAACUGGGGCUAAUACCGGAUAGGAGCUCCUGCUGCAUGGUGGGGGUUGGAAAGUUUCGGCGGUUGGGGAUGGACUCGCGGCUUAUCAGCUUGUUGGUGGGGUAGUGGCUUACCAAGGCUUUGACGGGUAGCCGGCCUGAGAGGGUGACCGGCCACAUUGGGACUGAGAUACGGCCCAGACUCCUACGGGAGGCAGCAGUGGGGAAUAUUGCACAAUGGGCGGAAGCCUGAUGCAGCAACGCCGCGUGCGGGAUGACGGCCUUCGGGUUGUAAACCGCUUUCACCUGUGACGAAGCGUGAGUGACGGUAAUGGGUAAAGAAGCACCGGCUAACUACGUG